UGGCGGCGUGCCUAACACAUGCAAGUCGUACGAGAAGUUGGCUUCGGCCGAUGAGUAAAGUGGCGCACGGGUGAGUAAUGCGUGGAUAAUCUGCCCUUUAGUUGGGAAUAACGUACCGAAAGGUGCGCUAAUACCUGAUAAUACUGCAUAACUACUGUUGUGUAGUCAAAGAAGGCCUCUGUUUACAAGCUUUUGCUGAAGGAUGAGUCCGCGUACCAUUAGCUGGUUGGUGGGGUAAUGGCCUACCAAGGCUACGAUGGUUAGCUGGUCUGAGAGGAUGAUCAGCCACACUGGAACUGAGACACGGUCCAGACUCCUACGGGAGGCAGCAGUGAGGAAUAUUGCGCAAUGGGGGCAACCCUGACGCAGCAACGCCGCGUGAGUGAGGAAGGUUUUCGGACCGUAAAGCUCUGUCGAGCGGGAAGAAAUGUAUCAUGGCUAAUAUCCAUGAUACUUGACGGUACCGCUAAAGGAAGCACCGGCUAACUCCGUG
rnacentral:rRNA from 1 species